CGUUGCCUUUCUCGGCCUGCAAACGAUGACCUCGUCACGUCAACCGUGUGUGUCGCGUUGGGGGCAUGUGCGGUGUCACCUGAUCUUUGAACUGCUGCGCCUGCUUCCUCUCGUCCUCCAUCUGGGUGCUUAAGUCCUUCAGCUUCUUCUCCUUCUGACCUCCCUGACUUUGUUCUCCAGGGUGGUGACGGACGAUUUGAGCUUGGAUCGGCCCUGGCCUUCCAUCUCCUGAACUUUGGCCUUGAGCUCCCGGUUCUGCUUGUCCAGCUGCUGCCUAGCCGCUUCCUUGGCCUGCGAAGACGCUCGCUCCGUUGUCAGCUCGGUGCUCAGCUGCUCCACCUACAUGCACAAGGUUGGAGACAAGCUGCCUCUGGCUGUCCAGGUCCAUGAGGACGUCCUCCAGCUCCUGCUGCACUCUGCUGCGGCUCUUGUCCAGCUUGUCGUAGGCCGAGGCCUUCUCUUCGUAAUCAUUGUUGGCCGCCUCCAUGUCUCGCAGUAGACGCUUCUUACCUUCCUCCAGCAGCUCCACUGUGCCCAGGGACUCGUCCAGCUUCUUUUUGCAGUCAGACAGCUGAUGGUGGACAGCAGAGUCGAGUCAUGCGGUCUCGUUAGUCUCUUUGCACUAUUUCCGUCUUUGGUGAGACUUUUCUGCCUGAGGUUCCUGACCUGCAUGUUGAGGCUGGACACCUGCCUCUCCAAGACCCGCUUGGCCUCGCUUUCCUCCUCCAGCAUUUCCGUCAAAUUGAUGUGGUCGUCUUCCAUCUGCCGCAGACGUCCUGCCACGUUCAGCUUCUGACGCGUCUCCUCGGCCAGUAGCUCCUGGAAGGUCAUCACCAGCAAACACAGGUUCUGCAGGACGGAGGCCUCGUUGAGGAAGGUGAGGGCAGCCAUGUCCUCCACCUUGUUGAACUUGGGCGGGUUCAUCCUUUGGAUGUCCUCCUUGUUCACCGUCGCCUUGCGCCCGUUGGACAACUCCACCAGCACCUGCAAGCGAGCCGCCCCAACACAAUGCAGGAUAAUCAGAUGGCUACCACGCUCAAAGAAGCACCACUAUUAAGUUAAAAAGGCUUUGGUCCAACCUCAUCGCCCUUCUCCUCCUUGAUGCUGGCGGCCUCAAAGCCUUCCUUCUCGGACGGCACCCACACCAUCUUCUUGGCCGCCCAGUCGGCCUGCGCCACACCGCUGUUGCGGAAAUCGCUCUGCAGGAACAGGAACUUGCUGUCGUCCGCCGCUGCCGGGUCCGCCAUGUCCACAACACGCGCGUCAAAAUGGCCGUCGGAGGCUGGAAUGGAUUCUGUCGCUUGGGAUGAAGUGCGCUUGCCCUUGGACCUGGGGAACACAAUGAAAAAAAUAUUUUUGGGAGAGAAAAAAGUUGUAAUUUUUGCCAGUAUUUUUCCCUAAGAGUAACAUUAGUAAUAUUAAUAGAGAAAAAGUACUAUUCUUCCAGAGAAAAUGUCAACAUUUUCCAGAGAAAUAGUAAAAUUUUCAAGAUCAGAUGUAAAAAAAAAAAAAAAAAAAGACAAAAA